rnacentral:rRNA from 1 species
UACGAAGGGGGCGAGCGUUGUUCGGAUUUACUGGGCGUAAAGGGCGCGCAGGCGGCUCAUUUUGUCAGGCGUGAAAGCCCCGGGCUUAACCUGGGAACUGCGUUUGAUACGGAUGGGCUAGAGUUCGGGAGAGGAGAGUGGAAUUCCUGGUGUAGCGGUGAAAUGCGCAGAUAUCAGGAAGAACACCCGUGGCUAAGGCGGCUCUCUAGUACGGUACUGACACUGAGACGCGAAAGCGUGGGGAGCAAACAGG